rnacentral:lncRNA from 1 species
UUUUUUUUUAGUUGUUGAUGGAUCUUUAUUUUUUAUUUAUAUAUUUAUGUGUGGUUCUGAGGAUUAACCCAGUGCCUCACACAUGCUAGGCAAGUGCUCUUUCAGUGAGCUACAACCUCGGCCCUGCCUUUGAUUUUUAUGAGAUUCAUACCUUUUUCCUUUUUCCUCUCUGACUUUCACAUAUGAGAAAACAAAUGACCCUCAACCUAUGAGUUUGACUUAUUUUGCUUAACAUGAUAUUCUUGAAUUUCAUCCAUUUUCCUGCAAAUGCCAUAAUUUCAUUUUUCUAUAUGGCUGAAUAAAACACCGUUGUAUAUUUAUACCACAUUUUCUUUAUCCAUUCAUCCAUUGAUGGACACCUGGGCUGGUUCCUUAGUUUGUCUAUUGUGAAUUGUGAUGCUAUAAAUAUGGGUAUGCUUAUAUCACUGUAGUAAAAUGACUUUAAUUCUUCAGGGUAAAUACUGAGAAGUAAUAUAGCUGGAUCAUGGUGGUUCCAUGACUAGUCUUUUGAGGAGCCUCCAUACACUGAUUUCCAUAAUGGUUAAACUAAUUUAUAGCCCCACCAACAGUAUAAAAGUUUCCUUUUUCUCCACAUCCUCUCCUGUAUUUAUUAUUGUUUGUAUUCUUGAUGGCUACCAUUCUAUUCUAGCUGGUGUGAGUUGAAAUCUCACUAUAAUUUUCAUUUGCAUUUCCCUAAUUGCUAAUGAUGUUGAACAUUUUUAUUUGUUGGCCAUUUGUAUUUCUUUUUUUGAGAAGUGUGUGUUUAAUUCAUUUGCCCGUUUAUUAUUUGAUAUUUUGGUGUAGAGGUUUUUGAGCUCUUUAUAUAUUCUAGAUAGCUACUCUUCUGACAGAGGAUUAAUAUCUAGCAAAGAUUUUUCUUCCAUUCUCUGAGUUCUCUCCAUAUUCCUAAUUGUUUUCUUUGCUCUGUGGAAGCUUUUUAAUUUGAUGCUGUC